rnacentral:rRNA from 1 species
ACGGAAGGCAGCAGUAGGGAAUAUUGCACAAUGGGGGAAACCCUGAUGCAGCAACGCCACGUGUGGGAAGAAGCCUUUCGGUGUGUAAACCACUGUCGUGAGGGAAUAAUGUUGCGUUUCGGCGCAAUUGAAUGUACCUCGAAAGGAAGCACCGGCAAACUUCGUGCCAGCAGCCGCGGUAAUACGAGGGGUGCAAGCGUUGUUCGGAAUCACUGGGCGUAAAGGGAGCGUAGGCGGAGGAGCAAGCAGUCUGUACAAUACCGGGGCCCAACCCCGGACCUGCAGACUGGACUGUUUCUCUUGGAUAGCUCAGGGGCUGGCGGAAUUCCUGGUGUAGCGGUGGAAUGCGUAGAGAUCAGGAAGAACACCGACGGCGAAGGCAGCCAGCUGGGGGCUUAUCGACGCUCAUGCUCGAAAGUGCGGGUAGCAAACAGGAUUAGAUACCCUGGUA